AACUCAUACAUUAUACACAUAAGUCACUACCAAAUUACAAAUGAUCGCUUCAAAUGCAGCACCAUGGGUUGCAUGAGAUUUGUCCUUGAGAUGGAGGAGGUAGAAGUCGAUGAUGCCAUUCUCGCUCUGGUAAAGGCAGGAAAUAAUCCUAAGCAGCUGUUAAAAUAGUACACCAAUGAGUUUCUAGCUGGUCUAGAAUAAGGAAAUAGGAAAUGAUCAUUAUAUGCACAGUACAAUACAUAUUAUGGAGGAAAGGAAACAAUUGUGACUCAAGAAUGUGCAUCACACUUCUCACUGAAACAAUUGUUGGAAGGCCUAUUUUUGUAUUUUUGAAACAAGUAAAAAGAGUUUACAAUUGUCAAAAGGCCUAUUUUAUAUUCAAAGAUAUACAAUUCUAAUGCAAUAUCUAUUUUCUAUUUGAUGUUAUGUAGGAAGAUCACACAGCAGAAUAAAAGUAGUUCUUUUUUUUCAAAUUCACAAACCUCACAGAAGGCACAUUCACAAAUAUGACUACACUUACUCUCAACUAAAUCAAUUCAUUAGUAUUUAACACUCCUAACAAACUUUCACAAUUUCCAGCAUUUAGAGGAAAUGUAAGUGACGUAGAUCACUACGAACAAAUAGGCAAUACAGAUAAACUCAAUAUAAACUAUUUGAAACUACCACACAGAACUAGCAGUAUAAACACUUUACUGUGGCAAAACACAACUCACGUCUAGCAUGGUAAUUUCGGUUCUUAUCCAGUUCUACGAUUCUACUUAAGUCGUAUCUACAAGCCAUGGAGAAGUAAAAAAAGCCAAUAACCUGCAAGUUACCACAGUACCAUGCCGAAAUUCUAAGUAAUAUCCUAGGCAAAUAGUGCAGUAGCAUGAGUAUUGAGUAUAAAACCACUGAACCUAAAUAGGUACAGUUUUAAACAUUAGCAUACCAUGAACAAGAGGAAGCAACCAUAGUACAGAAUGUGAUCGGAGAGCAGCCUAUGAGCUAACUCAAGUUAACAUAUGGUUCCUAUUACAUUCUACCUAGAACAAGAUAAACCAGAGCACGAGGGGGGGGGGGGCGAUGGAAGACCAAGGACUUACCGGAGCCAGAGAUGAAGUAGAAGUGGACAUCUGUUGUCGUGCCUGCGGUCACCACAUGCGGUGUCGGUGUUGUCCUCCUUGAGGAGACGUGCGCUAUGGAUGGGG
rnacentral:lncRNA from 1 species